rnacentral:rRNA from 1 species
UACGUAGGCAGCAAGCGUUGUUCGGAGUUACUGGGCGUAAAGGGUGCGUAGGCGGCCCUGUAAGUAUGGUGUGAAAUCUCCCGGCUUAACUGGGAGGGUGCGCUAUAGACUGCGGGGCUCGAGUGUGGGAGAGGAAAGUGGAAUUCCUGGUGUAGCGGUGAAAUGCGUAGAUAUCAGGAGGAACACCGGUGGUGUAAACGGCUUCUGGACCAUAACUGACGCUGAGGCACGAAAGCGUGGGUAGCAAACAGG